rnacentral:tRNA from 1 species
GCUGGAGUGAUGGAAUUGGUAGACAUCAGGGACUUAAAAUCCCUUGACCGGCAGCGGUCGUACGAGUUCAAGUCUCGUCUCCAGCAACC